UCGGGGUUAGUGGGAGAAACAGAAGAGAUUUGAGGAUAAUGACUUUUAUUUUGAAAAAUUCUUUUUUUUAGAAAAAUUGACGUUGUUUCCUUCUCCUCUCCCGUCUUUUCUUUUUCUUUUCCAAACGCAAUAUUUUUCUCAUUUUGUUAUUCGUUCUGACAAAAUCGUGUUUCCUUGUCGCGGUAUUUCUGAUUGUGCUCUCUUUGUUUGGUAAGUGGUGGUGAGUUUUUCUGAGGAGGGAGCCUCUGUUAUUCUUUUUGGCCUUGUUGAAUUCUCUUUA
rnacentral:lncRNA from 1 species